rnacentral:rRNA from 1 species
UUCUGGGAGGUUUGACAGAUUGAGAGCUCUUUCUUGAUUCUGAAGAUGGUGGUGCAUGUCCAUUCUUAGUUGGUGGAGCGAUAUGUAUGGUUAAUUCAGAUAACGAACGAGACUCUAGCCUACUAAAUAGGUGCGUAAUUCUCUGCACCUCGCACCCUUCUUAGAGGGACAAGCGGCUCCUAGAAGCACGAAACAGAGCAAUAACAGGUCUGUGAUGCCCUUAGAU